GACGAACGCUGGCGGCGUGCUUAACACAUGCAAGUCGAGCGAGUGGCGGACGGGUGAGUAAUGUCUGGGAAACUGCCCGAUGGAGGGGGAUAACUACUGGAAACGGUAGCUAAUACCGCAUACCAUCGGAUGUGCCCAGAUGGGAUUAGCUAGUAGGUGGGGUAACGGCUCACCUAGUCGACGAUCCCUAGCUGGUCUGCGAGGAUGACCAGCCAACUUGGAACUGCGACACGUUCCCGACUCCUACGGGAGGCUGCAGUGGGGAAUAUUGCACCAUGGGCGCAAGCCUGAUGCAGCCAUGCCGCGGGUAUGAAGACGGCCUUCGGGUUGUAAAGUACUUUCAGCGAGGAGGCGUUACUCGCAGAAGAAGCACCGGCUAACUCCGUGCCAGCAGCCGCGGUAAUAC
rnacentral:rRNA from 1 species